rnacentral:rRNA from 1 species
UGGGGAAUAUUGGACAAUGGGGGCAACCCUGAUCCAGCGAUGCCGCGUGAGUGAAGAAGGCCUUCGGGUUGUAAAGCUCUUUUGUCAGGGAAGAAACGGUAGUAGCGAAUAACUAUUACUAAUGACGGUACCCGAAGAAUAAGCACCGGCUAACUACGUGCCAGCAGCCGCGGUAAUACGUAGGGUGCAAGCGUUAAUCGGAAUUACUGGGCGUAAAGCGUGCGCAGGCGGUUGUGUAAGUCAGAUGUGAAAUCCCCGGGCUCAACCUGGGAAUUGCAUUUGAGACUGCACGGCUAGAGUGUGUCAGAGGGGGGUAGAAUUCCACGUGUAGCAGUGAAAUGCGUAGAUAUGUGGAGGAAUACCGAUGGCGAAGGCAGCCCCCUGGGAUAACACUGACGCUCAUGCACGAAAGCGUGGGGAGCAAGCAGGAUUAGAUACCUAUGUAGUCCCUGAGCGGGCUGGCAAGGCGCAU